UACGUAGGGUGCGAGCGUUGUCCGGAAUUAUUGGGCGUAAAGAGCUCGUAGGCGGUCUGUCGCGUCUGCUGUGAAAUCCCGGGGCUCAACUCCGGGCUUGCAGUGGAUACGGGCAGACUAGAGUUCGGUAGGGGAGACUGGAAUUCCUGGUGUAGCGGUGAAAUGCGCAGAUAUCAGGAGGAACACCGGUGGCGAAGGCGGGUCUCUGGGCCGAUACUGACGCUGAGGAGCGAAAGCGUGGGGAGCGAACAGG
rnacentral:rRNA from 1 species